AACGAACGCUGGCGGCAGGCUUAACACAUGCAAGUCGAACGAAGUCUUCGGACUUAGUGGCGGACGGGUGAGUAACACGUGGGAACGUACCUUUUGGUUCGGAACAACUCAGGGAAACUUGAGCUAAUACCGGAUGAGCCCUUAGGGGGAAAGAUUUAUCGCCGAAAGAGCGGCCCGCGUUAGAUUAGCUAGUUGGUGAGGUAAAGGCUCACCAAGGCUACGAUCUAUAGCUGGUCUGAGAGGAUGAUCAGCCACACUGGGACUGAGACACGGCCCAGACUCCUACGGGAGGCAGCAGUGGGGAAUCUUGCGCAAUGGGCGAAAGCCUGACGCAGCCAUGCCGCGUGAAUGAUGAAGGUCUUAGGAUUGUAAAAUUCUUUUACCAGGGACGAUAAUGACGGUACCUGGAGAAAAAGCCCCGGCUAACUUCGUGCCAGCAGCCGCCGUAAGAC
rnacentral:rRNA from 1 species